AGUGUUAGAUUCAUGGCUCAGAACGAACGACUGGCUGGCAUGCAUAACACAUGCAAGUCGAACGAGAUCCUCUUGGGUCUAGUGGCGCACGGGUGGGUAACCAGUGGGAAUCAUCCCUUAGGUUUGGAAUAACAUCAAGAAAUGACUUCUAAUUCCGGAAGAUGCCGUUAAGUCCAAAGAUUUAUCGCCUGAGGAUGAGCCCGCGUAGGAUUAGCUAGUUGGUGAGGUAAAGGCUCACCAAGGCGACGAUCCUUAGCUGGUCUGAGAGGAUGAUCAGCCACACUGGGACUGAGACACGGCCCAGACUCCUACGGGAGGCAGCAGUGGGGAAUAUUGGNCAAUGGGCGCAAGCCUGAUCCAGCAAUGCCGCGUGAGUGAUGAAGGCCUUAGGGUUGUAAAGUUCUUUUACCCGGGAUGAUAAUGACCAGUACCCGAGAAUA
rnacentral:rRNA from 1 species